UUUUACCAACCUAAAGUUCCAACUCCAACUCAACCCUAAAUUGUCUAAAUCUUCUUCUCUCGCUAGGCCAAGUCUCUCUCUGGUUUCUAUACCCUUCUAGCCCCCCCUCUUUCUCCUAUGUAAAGACAUCAUAGGAAACUAUAAAGGCGCCGUGCCAUAGAACUUCUCCUCCUUUACUCUUCCGCGUGAACAACCUUACUUGGAAGUGUAACGGUUGUACAUUGAUCACUGCAAAGACAUCAUAGGAAAUUGUUGGUAAUCAAUUAACCACUGACUUUUCCCUCUCUCAAUCUCUCUCCCCUCUAUAUCUAUAUCUCUGCCUCAGUCUCUAUCUAUUUAAUACUUUUCCCGUUUCUUUUUAUUCCAAUCGAUUCUCUGAGGGUUUUCUAUUUUCUCUUUACUCCAAUCGAAUAUGGAAUCAUAGGUAUGAUUAAUCUCAAAAAGUUUUAUUUUUUGAUUGCUAGUUGCUACAAAGUUUGUAUUGUAAAUGAUGGAUUAUUUCCCUCUAUAUAGUGAUAAUUUGAUACUUUUUCAUGUUAUUUAUUUUUUUAAUAAAUAUAUUAAUCCAAUCAAUUUAUCUUUUGUUGGUUCGUACUAGAUUAUGGAUGUUAAUGCCAUCAUCCAUGGACAAGGUACUGCUCAAGUAGCUGGACAAGAUAUUACUGGAACCCAAGUUACUGAGCAAGACACUGCCCAAGCCCAAGUCAUUGGCAAGCGUUGCCGCAAGAACAAAAAAGGUAAACCCCCCAAAUCACAUAAUGAUAAUGCGGGGGAAAAUGGUGGUGGGAGGGUACCAUCAAGAGAUUGGAAUUAUUUUAAUAAAUUAGAAUUAAAAAAUAGCAUAAGGAAAGCUUAGUGCAAAUAUCAUCAAAAUGUGUAUGUAGCCGAUUCCAAGUUUCAUGGGACAAGUAACCUAUUGAGUCAUGCUGCAACAUGUGCAAAAAAUUCUUACAAUACUGAAGUGAAGGGACAACAAACCUUGGGUUUUCAACCUAAAAAAGAUGGAAAAGAGGGUGUAGAACUUGUGUCCUUGAGCUUUUCAGUGGGAAGCUGCUAGAAGAGCUCUUGCUGAGAUGAUUGUAAUUGAUGAGUUAUCCUUUACGUUUGUUGAAGGAGUUGGGUUUAGGAGAUUUUGUGGUGUCUUACAACCUAAGUUUAAGACCAUCCUAUCUUGUACCAUCAUAACUCGAGACAUUGUGGGAAUUUUUAAUCGUGAGAAAGAUAAGUUAAAAAAAACAUUAAGGGGUCGUAGAGUUUGUCUAACCAUAGAUACAUGAACAUCAAUACAGAAUCUGAAUUAUAUGUGCCUUCCUGCUCAAUUUAUUGAUGAUGAUUGACAAUUUCAGAAAAGGAUAAUUAAUUUUUGUCAAGUUGAAGAUCAUAAGCGAGAUAUACUAGGUAAAAAAAUUGAAAUGUGCUUGUUGGAGUGGAACAAUGAUAGCACAUUUACCUUAACAGUAGAUAAUGCUAGUUCUAAUAACAAUACUAUCAAAUUCUUGAAGAGGAAAAUAAAAUAUUUGAGAGGGACUAUUUUGGAGCAUGAGUUUCUACAUAUGCGUUGCUUGUGCCCAUAUUUUGAUCUAAUUGUGGGUGAUGGAUUUAAAGAACUAAACACUCUAUUGCUCGUGUGCAUGAUAUUGUGAGAUAUGUUUGACAUCCAAAAUAGGCUUGAGGUUUUGUAAAAAAUGGGUAGAAAGCAAAAAAAAUGAAUGUAAGAGUUUGUUGUGCAUUGAUGGACCAAUUAGUGGAACUUACCUAUCUAAGUUGGAAGCAACUUGUAAAUUUGAGAGUGCCUUGAGAGAAUGGAGGAGGAUGACACUAAUUUCAAAUAUCCACUAUUUGGAUUAUGAUAUUGGUGGCGAUGAGAUUAUAAUAGUAUAAGAAGCGUAACUUCUGCUCUUUCAACAAAGCAGAUUGGAAUAAUGCAGGGGUUUUUGUGAAUUCUUAAAACUUUUCUACAAUGCAACGAAGCGGGUUUUAGGCUCUCUUAUGUAUCUCAAAUUAUUUUUGAUGAAGAUGAUUGUGAUUCCAAAAAAUUUCAACAAUUAAUCAAUAGAAAGAGAUUUAUUUUGUCUUCAAUGGCAAAAAAAAUGAAAGAAAAGGUGAAUAAGUUAUAUAUGAUGUGGUACUUGAGUCUCGAAAUAAGUUGAGUAUUUGAAAUUUUGUUUGUCACAAUUCUUCAAGAAAAAUUGUGAAUGAGAUAACUAGUCAAGUAAAUAUUUCUUGAUUCAUUUAUAUGAGGUUUAUGCUUUAAUAGAUAAGUAAUAACUGUGGAAGUGCCUAGUGCAAGUGAAGUUCUAAGUGGAGGUAGAUGAUGACGGUGAUGAUCCACAUGCACUUAUAGCUGUCCACUUUAGCUUUUAUCUGGAGGAGGAGUCAAGUGUGUGCCAAACUGAGUUGACAAGUAACAGGGAGACUACUGUGAAGGUGCAAAAAGAUAUCAAAUUUGAUAAUUGGCUUGGUGAAAAGCUUUCUUCAAAGAUUCGCCCUGUCCCAAUUAGCACGCGAUUCUUGGCAAUGCCAAUUUCUCAGUUACUCUGAGCCUGCUUUGAGCCAUGGGAGGAAGAAUAAUUGACCCCUUUCGUAGUCUUUGUCUCCAACGAUGUUUGAAGUCCUUUUGUGCCAAAAUUGACUCAAAGCCUCACUCUCAAUUUCUCGUCGGAAGGGCUAUGGAUAGUGUUGAAGAAUUUAAAAAACAAUGUGAAAUAGUUCUGAUUUAAAUGUUUUAUCUUCUUUACUUCAAUAGUACGCAUAAUAAGUUAAGAAUUAACCUUUACAUCUUUUUUGUCCCAGAAUCAAGUGAUCUUGAAGCUCCACCAAUGUCAAUGUAAUACUGGAUAAUUAUUUGAAUUGUUGAAUUUGGCUAAAGUAAUUUGAAUUCUUCUUAAUCAAUUUGUUCAGUUUCUUAGCCUUCACUUUCCAAAGGCCUUAUUAGGUGGUAAUGUUUUUUGGCAUUUUGUAUAUUGGUUAUUGCAGGUUAGAAACCACAUCAAGUCAGAUUACUCCCCAGUUUCUUUUGUAUUUUUUCUCUUUAGGUUUUACAAAAUUUAUUUAGCUUGCUAAUUUUUUGACACUUUCAAGUGGAUUGGAGGAAUGUUCUAUGUAUCAAGGAGGG
rnacentral:lncRNA from 1 species